GACUUCAUAGUAAGGUGGUGUAUACAUUCACUUGACAAGUGAAAGGUGACUGGUUCAAAUCCAGCUGAGGACA
rnacentral:tRNA from 1 species